UACGGAGGGUGCAAGCGUUAAUCGGAAUUACUGGGCGUAAAGCGUGCGUAGGUGGUUUGUUAAGUCCGUUGUGAAAGCCCCGAGCUCAACUUGGGAAUUGCAGUGGAUACUGGCAAGCUGGAGUGCGGUAGAGGAAGGUGGAAUUCCCGGUGUAGCGGUGAAAUGCGUAGAGAUCGGGAGGAACACCAGUGGCGAAGGCGGCCUUCUGGACCAGCACUGACACUCAAGCACGAAAGCGUGGGGAGCGAACAGG
rnacentral:rRNA from 1 species